rnacentral:rRNA from 1 species
UACGAAGGGGGCUAGCGUUGCUCGGAAUCACUGGGCGUAAAGGGUGCGUAGGCGGGUCUUUAAGUCAGGGGUGAAAUCCAGGAGCUCAACUCCAGAACUGCCUUUGAUACUGAGGAUCUUGAGUUCGGGAGAGGUGAGUGGAACUGCGAGUGUAGAGGUGAAAUUCGUAGAUAUUCGCAAGAACACCAGUGGCGAAGGCGGCUCACUGGCCCGAUACUGACGCUGAGGCACGAAAGCCAGGGGAGCAAACGGG